rnacentral:rRNA from 1 species
UGUCCAGACUCCUACGGGAGGCAGCAGUGGGGAAUAUUGCACAAUGGGGGAAACCCUGAUGCAGCGACGCCGCGUGAGUGAAGAAGUAUUUCGGUAUGUAAAGCUCUAUCAGCAGGGAAGAAAUAGCGACCUUUGGGUCGCCAGACGGUACCUGAUUAAGAAGCCCCGGCUAACUACGUGCCAGCAGCCGCGGUAAUACGUAGGGGGCAAGCGUUAUCCGGAUUUACUGGGUGUAAAGGGAGCGUAGACGGCGAUACAAGUCUGAAGUGAAAGCCCGGGGCUCAACCCCGGGACUGCUUUGGAAACUGUGUUGCUGGAGUGCUGGAGAGGCAAGCGGAAUUCCUAGUGUAGCGGUGAAAUGCGUAGAUAUUAGGAAGAACACCAGUGGCGAAGGCGGCUUGCUGGACGACAACUGACGGUGAGGCGCGAAAGCGUGGGGAGCAAACAGGAUUAGAUACCCGGGUAC